rnacentral:rRNA from 1 species
UACGUAGGGUGCGAGCGUUAAUCGGAAUUACUGGGCGUAAAGCGUGCGCAGGCGGUGAUGUAAGACAGUUGUGAAAUCCCCGGGCUCAACCUGGGAAUUGCAUCUGUGACUGCAUCGCUAGAGUACGGUAGAGGGGGAUGGAAUUCCGCGUGUAGCAGUGAAAUGCGUAGAUAUGCGGAGGAACACCGAUGGCGAAGGCAGCCCCCUGGGCUAACACUGACGCCUCAUGCACGAAAGCGUGGGGAGCAAACAGG